UUCAAAACACAUCUUUCAUCCUUCCGCACUGAGAAGCAAAACUUCCAGCUUACUUAGUUUUUCUAAGUUAAGACAACUCAAAUAAAUGGAGUUUAUCAGCGUUUUUGCAUAAAAAGUACUGGUAACGUAUUUAAAUCGAGUUCUGAUAACAAAUUGAUAAAAAUUGAGUUCAGCCUAUUUAAUAUUUUUAAUUAAACACAAUAUUACAUUUUACAGUGUAGAGCCUCUGUAGAAUAUUUGACUUGUACUUAAUCACAGGAGCUGCAUGUGCCUGAAUGUCUUCUAGGAAGGAUAAUGCAAAGCUGUUUGUAAGAACUAUUCAUACACAGUGUAAGUACUUAAAGUCUGUCAAGGCCCGUUACGGCUGUAACAAAAAUCUGGACUCAAAAGCAGACUUGAGUGAGGUGUCGUAAAAAAAUAAUUUGACCAUCGAAACCAAACUGAUUUUCUGAGAUUUAUUGAAAGACAUUUGAAACCUUUGCAAAGGAACAGCACAAACGGGCAUAGAAGGCAUAGAGUGCAUCACUACCUUGAACACAGAGCUCGCCCGCCAGAGGUGGUGUGCCCGCCAGAGGUGGUGUGCGUGGCGAAAGGCGCCCGCUAGAGGUGGUGUGCGUGGCGAAAAGCGCCCGCUAGAGGUGGUGUGCGUGGCGAAAGGCGCCCGCUAGAGGUGGUGUGCGUGGCGAAAGGCGCCCGCUAGAGGUGGUGUGCGUGGCGAAAAGCGCCCGCUAGAGGUGGUGUGCGUGGCGAAAGGCGCCCGCCAGAGGUGGUGUGCGUGGCGAAAGGCGCCCGCUAGAGGUGGUGUGCGUGGCGAAAAGCGCCCGCUAGAGGUGGUGUGCGUGGCGAAAGGCGCCCGCUAGAGGUGGUGUGCGUGGCGAAAGGCGCCCGGCAAAGGUGGUGUGCGUGCCAGUUCCCUAUUUUUUUUUUUUGUCUUGGCCCCCGUUCGUUUUACAAGAAAAUCCCCCUCCCCCCGAAGAGUUGGAAUGCUCUGCGUCUUUGCAUUCAGCCAUCACACACCAUGCAGCUCAAAGAUGAUAUUUCCUGUUUCUCCAUUUCUAUGUAGGCUGAUAAUGAUCGAGCCCAGCUGAAUUCUCAGAGAAUGAAGUGUUAUACUGCGCAUGACUGAAUAGAAAAUGUUUCCACAUCUAAAGACAGCUCUACGACUCAUGCCGAGGAGUGACGUUAACCUUCUCAUUGGUUGAGAGCGAGAGCCCCCGCUGCUUUCACCUACCCGACUCAGCCACCUCAAAUUUGGGUUCGACAUGGAGUUGUCACUCCAAUGAAAGUUAUUUCCUUUUUCCACCGUUGUGCUUCGUGGUAUUUAUUGCGCAAUCUUCCAAAGCAGUACAACGCGCUCCACCGUGCGCACGCUGCAAAAUAAAGAGUCGUAACUUCUUAUGAUCCCCUGCGAUGACUUCCUGUGUCUUCUUCUUGCUCUACUCAAAGCCAGAACAGAAAACAGUGACAUUUUAUAGCUUUGAUCUCUGUCCCCGCCCCAUCUCUCCCUCUCUCUCUGUCCCUCCACUUGUCUCCUCCCGCUCUCGCUCUCUCUUGCUCGCCCCACCUAUCGCCACUCCUCUCUCCCUACAUGUCUCUGUGAUAGGGUGGAAGACUACCGUUAUACCCUCUGGGCAGUACCAAAAGACUCCAUGCAGCUGUUAUUUCUAAGUUAAUUUCAUACUACAAGACUUUCUUGUAAGGAGUUCUAAGCAGACACCCUGGAGGACACUAGCUGGCCAGCCAGACCCAGCUGCCAAGGUGCGAAUGACAUAUUCAGGGUUUGAAGAAACAUGUCUCCACAGCUGAGCAAAAAUGUACAAGAAACAUAUAAUGGGUGAAUAUGAAUAACUUUUUAUUUCAGCAAAUGUUAAGUUUAACUUGGGAAAGAUUACAAUAACAGUGAGCGUGUGAAAUUAUACAGAUUUUACUGGCCAGAGUAAAGAAACAUUCUCAGUUGUAUUAUAUACCCAACACGCUACCAAAGCUCAAAGCAUCUGGUUUUAACAAAGACUCUACAUA